GGGCGGUUAGCUCAGUGGUUUAGAGCGCUGCGUUGACAUCGCAGAGGUCA
rnacentral:tRNA from 1 species